ensembl:lncRNA
AUGGCCGUUGCAUUGUGGGCUGCAUUUUUGCUCUUUAUCGGUCACUCCUUCCAACUUGGAAUCCUGCUUCCUCCACAAAACGUGACACUAAUUUCGAAGAACUUCUACACUUUCUUGACAUGGCAACAGUCUCCAAACUCGACCAACAGCACUCAGUAUGAGGUGGAGAAAAGUAAUGGUAACAGAUCUUAUCCUGACUGGAUCAAAGAGCCGUCCUGCAGAAGAAGGAAUCUCAGAAGAAACCUAAGCUGCCAGCUUCAUCUGCCAGAUUUGCUCAAGUUUUACCUAGCCAGGGUGAGAGCCCAGGAUGGAGGCAGGUUGUCAGAAUGGGCCUAUUCGGAUUCCCUGCAGCCAUACAAAGACACUGUUGUUGGCCCCCUCAUUCUCUCUCUGGCUGCUGCAGAUCGUAGCAUUACGGUAUCCGUCUCUAUGCCCCAGAUCCUACUGGAGGAAAAUGGCUCAUUGGAUGUCACAUCCCUUCUAAAGAUCCUGAUCAUCCUCAGUAGUGAAGGGGGAGAUUUCCAGAACGUAAUGUUGUGUGAAGAUGAACUGAACAGCUGUUGGAUGGAUAGCAAACAAAGAAGAAUAAAUGUAACAAAAUACACCUUUAAGAAUGUGAAGCCAAAUACCAAUUACUGUGUCAAAGCAGAAGUUGCCAACCAGCCAACCAGGGAAGCUGUGCGGUGUAUUAAAACGCCAGCUAGCUCAACAGGUGUCUACUGGACCCUUUCUGUUAUAGUGUUGGCCUCUGUUUUUGGACUCAUCCUGUUGAGUUGGGUUGGAAAGACUUUCCUUAAGCAGUACAUGCAACUGAGCACCUCAGAAAUGGAUCUACCCAAAUCCCUGGUUUUUCUGAACAGGAAUUCAUCUGCUCUGAUACCUGCACUUCACUUGGAAGCUGAUUCCGUAGUUUUCAUCUCAACUACUGUGCAGCUGCCCUCGGAAGAAGGUCUGCCAACAGAGCAGGAAAGCCCCCAGUUCCAACUGAUUCCAGGCAGUUUUGGUGCUCAGGGAUCAAGUGACUAUUGUCCAAAUGGUUUUGAUAAGGGCAAUGAGGACCCCUCUUGCUUGACAGUUGCCUUUGUAGACUCCCUCUCAUCAGGAGGGCUGGUGAGGGAAGAUUAUUCAGGUGAUGAGGACUACAGAAGUGCUCUGGAGCUCUUGGAAUCUUCUGAACACCCAUCGCCAUCACCAUCACCUGGAGGAUUUCAUUUUGGUGGCUUGGAGACAGUUUCUUGGGAAUGCAGAACUAGCUAUAAAAGUGGCCAAGUAAGAUGGCUGCCUUCAUCUGGGGCUGAUAUUCCCCUCAGCUCUUUGAAGUUGCAGGCUCAUCUAGACACACAAGGCCUUGUGUACAGUCCAGGACCUUUUGAUCUACUGAAAAGCUGUGAUACCUACCCAGAGGCCCCAGCCAAGCAGGUUGCUGAGUUACAGGUGUACCGGGAUCAGAGCAGUUUCUUAGAAGAUGCAGAGCUUCAUAGCAGCUCCAGCCUGGAAGCCAAAGACACAAAGGCAAUGAGUUUCCCUGGCUAUGAACUCCACCCACCCAUCCUUUUCUGUGAACUAUAGUUUUUUGAUGUGUCAAAUAAGCAACUGGGAAAUGCAGAAACCCCAGCUGCUGUCUCACCUUGCAGGAGAAGGUGGGAGCUGAAGAAAGAGACAGGUCUGUCCUGACAGGUCUUCAAAAGGGUUACUGGCCUCUCUUUCCCUCCCCUCCCACUAUAUCCCACUAUAUUUUGCUUCCUGACAUUCACAGUUCCACCCUCCUCCAGCUCACCACCUCACCCUGGCAACUGAUGUCUGAAAUGGCUAUCUCACUCUGCCUAAUGGUAGGGCAGGCACUGAGGAUGGCGAGACAGCAAUCUGACUCACGAACCUACCUAAUCCAAAUGUAGCCAUGUAACUGGAGUGCACAAAGGAGAGCCAGAAAAUUGUAAGAAGGAGCAAUGGUAGAAUUCCUCCCUCUCAUGUGCCUCAUGUGUGUUAACCCUUAUGUACUACCAAGGCUCCAAGGAUACUAGGAACUUUGGGUAUUACUGUAUUUGAAAAUUCAUUGUUAGAUUUGUGGAUCUUGUGUUCCCAAACUGUGUGGCUGCUGUCCGUGGGUCUUUUGCACUCAUCAUCUUCCCAGUUCCCAUAUCAAUGUUAUAGAAACCGGGGUUUGCUUUUACAGCUGAAGUCCCACUCAAGGGGCUCAGAAUUCCCCAAGGUCUGCUCUCAGAAAAAUAAAAGGAGUCAACAACCAAGUAAAGGUAAAGCAAGGCUGGCUGCUAAGCCUGAUCCUUAUUGAAUGGUUUCAACAGAGAUUCCCCCCUCCUCCAACAGGAAGAAGAGCUGCAAACAAAGUGGGUAGCAAGUUCUAAAACUUCAGAAAGUGUCCCAUCCUCUUUAUAGAAAGACCACCCAGAAACGUCAUAGAAAUGUAAUAAAAAGGGGUUGUUCUGUGAAAUCGGGAGCAUGCAUGGAUUACAUGCUUUCCAACUUGUCUAUCAUGAUAUUUUAUAAAUUGCUUGUCUCACUCUGCCAUUCAUACUCCGGACACAUUAACCAUUCCUGUAGAUAUUGCAACCAUCCCUGUCUCCUCUUCUUUCUUAGCCUAUUCUUCUUGCACUGACUCAAAUCUCUCCCCUUUUAUACACAAAGGACCUCCAUUUGGCAGGUUUCAUCUUCUUCUGGCAAGUACCAAACCUGCCAGUUGCCCAUCAGCAGUACAUUUAGGAGUUCCUCACUACAUAGGUGGCUGCUGGGGUCUGAUAUGGAACAAACUUGGCUCCUCCAUUCCCCUUUUGGCUCACUAUAACAUUUUGACAUGAGUAUCAUUCAUAAAACACAUUAUUCGUUCGUAAAAACAUCUUAUUUUCUAAGAGGAAGGUUAUAAAUUGAUUCUUUCUGGGUGGCAUGUGCAUUCCAUUUACAGCAGAUACUCUUCCUGGUUGAUGCUUGAUGGAAGGCGCUGACAGCUCAACAACGGAGUGUUAAUUAUGUAUCUGCACCGUUCUGCAAGGUGCUCGCUGUUGCAAAGAAGAAGCUAGCAAGGAGGGCAAAGGCACAGGUUCCUAAGGAAAAAUGUGGUUUUUAAAAAGAGUAGCAUCUUGGUGGCCAUGCUUGCGAACUCCUGUUACCUUGAACAGUUCCUGUGACAUCAGUACAAUAAUGCUUCCAACUUUGCUAGAAGGUACCUAGGGAUUCCACUUACCUAAAACAGGAAAUUUCCACUAUGCUUGGACCUUACCAGAGUUCCACUUUUGUGCGGUCCUGGUCUAUUCCUUGCAGUUGUACGUAGGAGGGUGUCUCCAGACUGUAAGUCUCUUGUGAGAGGAAUUCAAAUUGUGCAAUUAAAGUAGAUAAAAGUGUUCUGCCGUCCUUGGCCUGAAGGCAUCAAUAAUGAUGGGAGUGGGGGAAUUAAAUCUCAAGGAUGCACAGACAUAACGUGGCUACAAUAUUUGUCCAGUGCAUUUUGAACACACUUAUUCAGCAGCCCUGCAUGUAAGAACAACGAACAUACCUUAUUGAAACAUUUAAACAAUAUGCAAAUAUUGUUGAAACUAAUAUUAUUAAAGCAGACCCUUUGUAAA